AUGCCUAGUAUAAGAGCGGCCGCAGCGAGGUUCUCCCGGCCCGCGUGGUCAGCCGUUGGGGUAACAGUGAUGAGGAGGAUGCAGGGCAUCGGUGGUGGCCGCGCGCCACGCUACUUCAGCGACAGCAUCCGCUCCGGCAGGGUGCUCAGCGAGGAGGAACGCGCCGCUGAAAACGUCUACAUACAGAAGAUGGAGAGGGAGAAGCUGGAGAAGUUGAGGAGCAAGAAGGCGGAUCAGGAAAAGGCCGACGCAGCAAAGAGUGCCAAAGGAAACAACGAGGAAACAAUCCAAACAAACAAGGGUGAGGGAGCUCAUCCAAGCUGA
rnacentral:rRNA from 1 species